UCUGCAAUCCCCUGAUCUACUGAACACUGGUUCGCCAAAGCCCACUGCUACCUGCGAUGCGGAUAAAUGUGCUGGUUUCAUUGUCAAAGGCGAGGCCUUGGUGUCGUCGUUGUCUUUAGGUGGAGCUGCCAUGGAUGCUGAUAAAUCAAAGGUGGCCGGCACUGCACUACGUUGGAAGAAGCUCACGGCGAAUAUUCAGCGAGAGAUAAGCUCUCAGAUGUGAAAUUUCGUUCACCAACUAGCAUACCAUGGAUAGUCUUGGAGUACCAGAGUUGAUCUCUCUAUUCAUGCACAAGCAUCAAUCUGUGUAAGCCGAAAUAUGAGAUGGUGGGAGAAGAACCAAAAAGAAAAGAAGAAAAAAGAGUAAGAAGACACAGAAGAAAAGAAAGAAAAAAAAGUUGCUUUCGGUGGAGACAGAUGGAAGAUGAUUGAGUUAAUGGAAAACCUCUUUCGGUGGUCUCGGCAAUUUCUGUGGGUAGUUAAGUGGUGGUCGGC